rnacentral:rRNA from 1 species
GUCCACGCCGUAAACGAUGGAUACUAGCUGUUGGGAGUAAUCUCAGUGGCUAAGCGAAAGUGAUAAGUAUCCCACCUGGGGAGUACGAACGCAAGUUUGAAACUCAAAGGAAUUGACGGGGGCCCGCACAAGCGGUGGAGCAUGUGGUUUAAUUCGAUGAUACGCGAGGAACCUUACCAAGGCUUAAAUGUAGAUUGACCGGUUUGGAAACAGACCCUUCGCAAGACAAUUUACAAGGUGCUGCAUGGUUGUCGU